GGUCAAGUGAAUAAGUGCAUACGACGGAUGCCUUGGCAUUAGAAGGCGAUGAAGGACGUGAUAAUCUGCGAUAAGCUUCGGUUAGCUGAUAAUAAGCAUUAUUAGCCGGAGAUCUCCGAAUGGGAAAACCCAGUGGUCAUCAGACCAUUAUCCUUAACUGAAUACAUAGGUUAAGGAGGCAAACCUAGGGAACUGAAACAUCUAAGUACCUAGAGGAAAAGAAAUCAACCGAGAUUCCCUUAGUAGCGGCGAGCGAACGGGGAACAGCCCUUAAGCAUAUUUUAAAUUACUAGAAUGUUCUGGAAAGUUCAACGAUACAGGGUGAUAGUCCCGUAUAGGAAAAUUUAAUUUAUGUGAAAUCGAGUAAGGCGGCGCACGUGAAACGCUGUUUGAAUAUGGGGGGACCACCCUCCAAGGCUAAAUACUCUCUAAUGACCGAUAGUGAACAAGUACCGUGAGGGAAAGGCGAAAAGAACCCCGGGAGGGGAGUGAAAUAGAACCUGAAAUCGUAUGCAUACAAGCAGUAGGAGCGGAUUUAUUCCGUGACUGCGUACCUUUUGUAUAAUGGGUCAGCGACUUACUUCUCAGUAGCAAGGUUAACCAUUAGGGGAGCCGUAGGGAAACCGAGUCUUAAAUGGGCGUUUAGUUGCUGGGAGUAGACCCGAAACCGGGUGAUCUAUCCAUGGCCAGGGUGAAGGUUAGGUAAAACUAACUGGAGGCCCGAACCCACUUAUGUUGAAAAAUGAGGGGAUGAGCUGUGGAUAGGGGUGAAAGGCCAAACAAACCCGGAGAUAGCUGGUUCUCUCCGAAAUCUAUUUAGGUAGAGCGUCAUGUAUUACUUCAGGGGGUAGAGCACUGUUAUGGCUAGCGGGUCGUCAAGACUUAGUAAACCAUUGCAAACUCCGAAUACCUGAAAGUAUGAGCAUGGCAGACACACUGCGGGUGCUAACGUCCGUAGUGGAAAGGGAAACAACCCAGACCGUCAGCUAAGGUCCCAAAAUUGUAGUUAAGUGGGAAACGAUGUGAAAAGGCCCAGACAGCCAGGAGGUUGGCUUAGAAGCAGCCAUUCCUUUAAAGAGUGCGUAAUAGCUCACUGGUCGAGUCGGUUUGCGCGGAAGAUUUAACGGGGCUAAAACUACAUACCGAAGCUACGGAUCAGAAGGCAGAACAAAAUAAAUUAUCACUUCUAAUGUAUAAUCUCUUAAUUUUACGAUAGGCUAUAAAAUUAUGGGAAUAAUCAAAAAAUUUGAUAAAAUUAUUUAUGAAUCUAAUAUUGAUUUAACUAGGCAAACAACUAUAAAUAAAACAGAGGUAAAAAUAGACGAGCAUAACAAGUGUUUUCAGAUAAGGACUUACGGUUCUAAAAAUAGAGAACACUCUAAUGUUGCAAGUCAAACUAUGUUGUUUACAGGUAAAUCAUUAGAUGAGUUAAAAAAGAUACUUAAUAAAUUGUAAGUUUAUUUUGUUCUGUCUUCUGAUGGUAGGAGAGCGUUCUGUAAGCCGUUGAAGGUGAACUGUGAGGUUUGCUGGAGGUAUCAGAAGUGCGAAUGCUGACAUGAGUAACGAUAAAGGGGGUGAAAAACCCCCUCGCCAGAAGUCCAAGGUUUCCUACGCAACGUUAAUCGGCGUAGGGUUAGUCGGCCCCUAAGGCGAGGCAGAAAUGCGUAGUCGAUGGGAAACAGGUUAAUAUUCCUGUACUUCAUAUAACUGCGAUGGGAAGACGGAGAAGGUUAGCGCAGCUUGGCGAUGGUUGUCCAAGUUCAAGCGUGUAGAAAUGAGUUUUAGGAAAAUCCGGAACUCUCUAUUUCAAGGCGUGAUAACGAUCCCUCUUUUGGGAGAAGUGCGUGAUACCAUGCUUCCAGGAAAAUCCUCUAAGCUUCAGGUUAUAUGAAACCGUACCCCAAACCGACACAGGUGGACGAGAUGAGAAUUCUAAGGCGCUUGAGAGAACUCGGGUGAAGGAACUAGGCAAAAUGACACCGUAACUUCGGGAGAAGGUGUGCUCUUGCUGGUGAUUUUACUUGCUAAAUGAGCUGGUAAGAGUUGAAGAUACCAGGUGGCUCCGACUGUUUAUUAAAAACACAGCACUCUGCAAACACGUAAGUGGACGUAUAGGGUGUGACGCCUGCCCGGUGCUUGAAGGUUAAUUGAUGAGGUUAGGAUUCGUCCGAAGCUUUUGAUCGAAGCCCAAGUAAACGGCGGCCGUAACUAUAACGGUCCUAAGGUAGCGAAAUUCCUUGUCGGGUAAGUUCCGACCUGCACGAAUGGCGUAACGAGGGCCACACUGUCUCCACCCGAGACUCAGUGAAAUUGAAAUUGCUGUUAAGAUGCAGUAUACCCGCGGCCAGACGGAAAGACCCCGUGCACCUUUACUACAGCUUUGCAUUGAACUCUGAUCCUACUUGUGUAGGAUAGGUGGGAGGCUUUGAAGCUUGAACGCUAGUUUGAGUGGAGCCACCCUUGAAAUACCACCCUGGUAUGGUUGGGGUUCUAACCUAGGUCCGUUAUCCGGAUUGGGGACAAUGCAUGGUGGGUAGUUUGACUGGGGCGGUCUCCUCCCAAAGAGUAACGGAGGAGCGCAAAGGUACCCUCAGCACGGUCGGACAUCGUGCAAUGAGCGCAAAGGUAAAAGGGUGCUUGACUGCGAGACUGACACGUCGAGCAGGUAGGAAACUAGGUCUUAGUGAUCCGGUGGUUCUGAGUGGAAGGACCAUCGCUCAACGGAUAAAAGGUACGCCGGGGAUAACAGGCUGAUACCGCCCAAGAGUUCACAUCGACGGCGGUGUUUGGCACCUCGAUGUCGGCUCAUCACAUCCUGGGGCUGAAGCAGGUCCCAAGGGUAUGGCUGUUCGCCAUUUAAAGUGGUACGCGAGCUGGGUUUAGAACGUCGUGAGACAGUUCGGUCCCUAUCUACCGUGGGCGUUGGAGACUUGAGGGAAGCUGUUCUUAGUACGAGAGGACCGGAAUGGACACACCUCUGGUGUUUCGGUUGUGACGCCAGUCGCAUUGCCGAGUAGCUAUGUGUGGAAAGGAUAACCGCUGAAAGCAUCUAAGCGGGAAGCCCCUCCCAAGAUUAGGUCUCCCUGAUAGUUUAACUAUCCUAAAGAUCCCUUGAAGACUACGAGGUUGAUAGGCAGGGUGUGGAAGCGCAGUGAUGUGUGAAGCUAACCUGUACUAAUUGAUCGUGAGGCUUGACCAUAU
rnacentral:rRNA from 1 species